rnacentral:misc_RNA from 1 species
GAAAUGCGAUAAGUAAUGUGAAUUGCAGAAUUCCGUGAAUCAUCGAAUCUUUGAACGCACAUUGCGCCCUCUGGUAUUCCGGGGGGCAUGCAUGUCCGAGCGUCAUUGCGAACCCCUCAAGCACGGCUUGUGUGAUGGGCCCUCCCGCGUCUUGGUCGUCAAGACGGGCCCGAAAUGCAGUGGCGGCUUCGCGGUUAUCCGAUCAGCCAGAGCGUAUGGGGACUUUCUCUCUGUCACACGCCCGCGGCGCGGACCGACGCCUGUCGACCUUCAUUCAUCGUUUUCUCGGUUGACCUCGGAUCAGGUAGGGAUACCCGCUGAACUUAAGC